rnacentral:rRNA from 1 species
AUGUGUGAUCAGGUCGGCUGGACCUGGACGGCUUCCCUCUCAACCACGAGUUUCCGGAGGACUAUGGGCAAGAGGAAGAGGACGAGUUCGACAUUGAAGGGUAGGCUUUGUUCGAGGAGGAGCUCGCCAACCAAGCCGUCGGGGCGAAGCCGAAGCGCAAGAGCAAGCGGACCAAGGCAUACACGGCGGCUGAGGAGAAGCUUCUUUGCGAGUGUUGGAGAGACAUUGGGCAAGACCCCAAGACGGGCGCCGAACAAAAGCAUUCAAAUUUUUGGAUUCGUGUCCACCGUGAGUUCCAUGAGCGCAAGAAGUUUCCGCCGUACCAAAUAG